GUCCGGGUACGCCAUCUUUGAGAGCCCCAGGAGUAAUGAUGACACAUGAAGAUAAAGACAAGAGAAAUAGCCAGCCCUGAUCAAAUACAUAUGAAGAAAUGCAUUC
rnacentral:lncRNA from 1 species